GAUGAAGAACGUAGUGAACUGCGAUAAGUAAUGUGAAUUGCAGAAUUCAGUGAAUCAUCGAGUCUUUGAACGCACAUUGCGCCCCCUGGCAUUCCGGGGGGCAUGCCUGUCCGAGCGUCAUUGCUGCCCUUCAAGCCCGGCUUGUGUGUUGGGUCGUCGUCCCCCCCGGGGGACGGGCCCGAAAGGCAGCGGCGGCACCGCGUCCGGUCCUCGAGCGUAUGGGGCUUUGUCACCCGCUCGAUUAGGGCCGGCCGGGCGCCAGCCGGCGUCUCCAACCUUCUAUUUUACCAGGUUGACCUCGGAUCAGGUAGGGAUACCCGCUGAACUUAAGCAUAUCAAUAACGGAGGA
rnacentral:misc_RNA from 1 species